CAGACAUCUCUCGUUGAGCUCACCAUGGGGUUGCGUUCUGUAAGAUCCACUCUGUCUUCCUAAAUCUGCCACAAUAGCAAUUUGCUUCUGCACCCCAACUGCAAUUGAUCUAUUAUAGGAUUGUCUGACCUUGUUAUUGGACUUGGUGUUUCAGCACAAAUGUGUUUUUGUAUUUGUUUUAGAGGAUCAGAGUAAAAUGCCUAAUUGUCAACUGUCUUUGAGGAGAAAUAAUGUAGCGUGAAAAUGUUCUGUAAUGUCAACAAAGUUUCUGCACCAAAUAUUGGAAUCAGUGGUGCGUUCGAAGACAGUCGCAGGUUAUGUCAGCUUGUGUGCUGUGUCUUUAUUUUCAGGAAGUCAGCCUUUUCUCUGCCUGAACAGUGAGCUGCAUCUGAACGCUUCCCCUUCUGCACCACUGACCCUGAUGAAAGCAACAUUCCCUCCCCGCCAGCGCUGCAAUUUCCCCCAUACAACACACAGACCUGCAAGUGGUGAGGAAUGAAGUUUUGCUCUGCUCCCUGCCCUGUCCCCAGCUCUCAGCGAGGAAACCCACUCCUCUUUUCCCAGCUGCCUCAGUCUGGUGUGAGUUUCAGAGGGGUGAUGGUUGCAGUGUGUGAGUCUGAAGGGUGAGGGGGUGAUCGCCUGGAUCAUCAGUACAGACACAUGCACACGCUCUGUGACAUCCAGGAGGGGUGUUGCCGAGAAACUCCAACCAAUCGAUGUCCCAGCAUGCUUUGCUCUCCACACCCUCGCAGCAUGUCUGAAAUCACAGCCCCCCUGCACUGUUCCAACCUGACAAAUGACAUAAUGUGCAGAAUCAAGCACCGGCCUUCGGAUGAAAAGAAACAUGUCUGCCACUGUCCCCAUCGGAAUGGAGAGGAGCAUCGGGAGCAUGUGAGUGCGUCUGGAAGCCGGAGUGGCCCGAGGCUUCGCUCACUGGAACAAUGCAAAGAUCAAAGCCCUGAGGACUGACAGGUGAUGAGUGGCUUCCCCUGGCCAGAGCACCACAGCCAGGCUCACACCUGUACCAGGUGAUUACAGGUAGAUCUGCCUGCCUCUAAUUGGACAAUAAAUGCAGCUCUCAGCCAGCUAAUGGUAGCAGUCUGCCUCAGCGACGCCACGCUGCCAUUUGACUGUCGCCAACCCUACCUAUGUCUCUCUCUCUUUCUCUCUCACAGCUGAGAUGAUGACAUAGUCAAAGUCUAUUCAGAGCAAACAACAAGACAAAUUACAAUCCAAGCCUUUAAUGUGAGAGUCACAGAAAGGAGAGAAGUAGAGAGGGAAGUAAAGUCUCCUGUACUGCUCUGUUGGAUCUUACUGAUGGAAGAUUUCUCUUUGUUUAUUUAUGUUUUGUCAUUGCUUAACCUCUACAUAUUUCUACAUACCUAACAGUAUUGCAACUGAGGCUCACACUAAGAAGGAAUUCACAUAUUUUAGGCUUUAAUCAGUGGACUGUGUAAAUAAAUUUUUUAACCUCUUUAAGCCUAGAAUUAUUAUUCAAGUGAGCAACUAAAAUGUUUUUGAUUGCAUCCCUUUGUUACGUAUCAUCAUGUCAGCAAAACAAACUCAACAGAACAAAACAAACUUGGAUCUCCUUAAAAUUUCAUAAUGAGUGGACCAAUAGAAAUGAUCCAGUAUUGUUUAGAAUACAUUUUUGCUAUAUUAACAUACACAAAGAGUUAAAAUGUUCCUGUUCUUUUGAAGUUUUGUGUUUGUUAAGAAUUUUUUUUCCUGUUCUUUUAAAAUUGUAUUUUUUGCCAUGUGGCUGUCAACACAACACAGCAAAUCAGUCAAACUACAUGUUACUGCCAUGAUCAACACUGAAAACUAUAUUUUUAAAACCAAAGCUGUUGCCUUACUGUAAAUUUGUGCCUAAAGCAAUUUCACUGUCCUUUAGAUGUUUUUAAAAGGGCUCAUAUUCCAGAAAAUGAAAUUGUUCCUUAUUUUGGGAAAUUAAAGUGUUUGAAGUAGUAUGUAAAUAUUGCUAAAAUUCAGAACUGUUCUCUCCCCCUACAUACAGUCCAUACAUGGAAACAAAACUGCAAAAACAACCCAAUCUGAAUUCAGUGAUAUCACAAAAAACAAUAUAUUUGUACAUAUCCAGCCCUUGAGUUUGCGCAAAGAGGUGGAUAUAUGUUUCAUUCUGAAGACAGCAGCUUUUUCUUUAAAGCACAGUACAGGUCAGCCAAACAGAAUAGAGGUCUUUUAUAUACAUGAGUCUUGAAGACACACACACAAAAAAACAGCUUGUUUAAUUCUUUAAAGGCUUAAGCAGAGAUUCAAUGUAAGAAUGAAUUAUGGCUGUGUUUUUGGCAUAUGAAACCACAAACAUCAUAAGUAAGCCCAGAAGAAAAAAAAUGCAAAACAAUGUAGAAUAUAGCCCCUUCAAUGUAUGAAUGUCCUGUCAUUGCUGGCUGGAUAAAGGCUAGCUAUCACACACCUCCUGCAAUGUGCAUGAAGCCUGAAACCAAAAAAAGGUUUCACAAAAAUUUUUCUUUGAGUGAAGCUGAAGAAGAACUACUUUGCUUACAUGACAAACUAUUUUUUAAAAAGAUAUUUUUGAGUAUGUUGAACCUUUUCAAGUUUUGAAGAAACUACAAAGGUUCUAUACCAGUGUAAGUAUUCUUCCAAGAGCCUUUGCAUUAUGUGGAAGUUCUUUAAACUCUAGAAAGUUUCUUUACACUCACACAUCUCAUUUACAAAAUGGUUCUGUAAAAAAGGAGAACCCUUUUUGAUGUGUUUGCUUUUAAGAGUGUAGAUGUCUUAUUCACUCUCAGUUCUGUGUAAUCAUGUAGAUGCCAGACAGUCUUCUACAUCAUAUAGUGCCAUGACAGAGACGGACCCUGACACACUUCCUCUCUGACGACACAGCCCAUGACAUGCUGAAAGACCUCAUGCUGUAACAGGCACAUGGCAUGGCUCAAACUAUAACCUAAUUCCCAGUAUGGAGAGUUCACAUCUGUGGUACAAGGUACAUAUGACUUUCCUGUGGACUUAAUAAUUUCAGUGUUGAAAUGUUAGUGCUUUCAUUUUUAUUAUUAUUGAUAUGCAGAAUUGUGAAAUGUACUCUGACAAUUUCAUUUCAUAAUAAAAAAAUCACUUUCUACAAAAAUG
ensembl:lncRNA